rnacentral:rRNA from 1 species
CGAACGGGUGAGUAACGCGUGGGUAUCUACCUUUAAGUCCGGGAUAACUUCCUGAAAGGGAAGCUAAUACCGGAUAAUCUCCUUCGGGAGCAAAGGCGGUUUUGCUGUCACUUAAAGAUGAGCCUGCGUCCCAUUAGCUAGUUGGUAAGAUAACAGCUUACCAAGGCAACGAUGGGUAGCCGGCCUGAGAGGGCGAUCGGCCACACUGGGACUGAGACACGGCCCAGACUCCUACGGGAGGCUGCAGUGGGGAAUCUUCCGCAAUGGGCGAAAGCCUGACGGAGCAACGCCGCGUGAGUGAUGAAGGCUUUCGAGUCGUAAAGCUCUGUCUUUAGGGACGAAUCCCUCAUUUGUGAAAGCAGGUGGGCUUGACGGUACCUAAAGAGGAAGCCCCGGCUAAUUACGUGCCAGCAGCCGCGGUAAUACGUAAGGGGCAAGCGUUGUCCGGAAUCACUGGGCGUAAAGGGUACGCAGGCGGUCUAGCAAGUCAGAGGUGAAAGCCAUCGGCUUAACCGAUGAAGUGCCUUUGAAACUGUUAGACUUGAGGACAGGAGAGGAAAGUGGAAUUCCCGGUGUAGUGGUGAAAUACGUAGAGAUCGGGAAGAAUACCAAUGGCGAAAGCAGCUUUCUGGCCUGUAACUGACGCUGAGGUACGAAAGCUAGGGUAGCAAACGGGAUUAGAUACCCCGGUAGUCCUGGCUGUAAACGCUGGACACUGAGUGUUGGGGGUUAAACUCCUUCAGUGCUGAAGUUAACGCGUUAAGUGUCCCGCCUGGGGAUUACGACCGCAAGGUUGAAACUCAAAGGAAUUGACGGGGGCCCGCACAAGCGGCGGAGCAUGUGGUUUAAUUCGAUGCAACGCGAAGAACCUUACC